CAGGUAGUUAUAGAGAGCAGUGAGGUCUCCCCGGAGCCUCCUCUUCUCCAGGCUGAACAAUCCCAGCUCCUUCAGCCGCUCCUCAUAAGGCCUGUGUUCCAGACCCCUCACCAGCUUUGCCCUUCUUUGAACUCGCUCCAGGGCCUCAGUGUCUUUCUUGCAGUGAGGGGCCCAAAAUUGAACACAGUACUCGAGGUGCAGCCUCACCAGAGCUGAGUACACAGGGACAAUCACUUCCCUGUUCAUGCUGGCAGCAACGUUCCUGAUGUUUUCAGCCAAGCAUCAAUCAAUACCCCCAGGUCCAUUUCCUCUACACGGUCUUCCAGCCACUCUGCCCCAAGCCUGCAGCAUUGCCUGGGGUUGUUGUGGCCAAAGUGCAGGACCCGGCAUUUGGUCUUGUUGAUCCUCAUCCCAUUGGCACCAGCCCAGCUCUCCAGCCUGUCCGGAUCCCUCUGUAGGGCCUCACUACCCCCAGGCAGAUCGACAGUUCCAGCCAACUUGGUGUCAUCUGCAAACUGACUGAGGUUGCACUCAGUGCUGUCAUCCAGGUCAUCGAUAAAGAUAAUGAAGAGUAUUGAAUUAACGCUACUACUUUAGGUAACAGUUGGUCAAGCAAAACCGCCAUCAGUUCAGUUUUCAACUCUUAAGCAUGUUCUUAAAUGUGUUUUGCAGGGUGGUGUUGCAUGGUGUAUUCUGCCUUCUCUUUCUUUCUGUGCUGUUUUUUCUAUUUAGGGAAAAGGAUAUGUUGUCAUGUAACAGGAGGAAGUGGAGGUACUCUCUGUUAUGUCCAUAGCCUUUUUCUUGUGUGUGCUUCACCUAGAAGUGCUGAUGGAUGAGUAAUAACAGUGGCUUUUCUAUCUGACAUAGUUGCUGCUUUGAAGUUAUUUUCUUCCUUUUUGUUCCAUAUUUCCUUUUUCAUUUCACUUGAGCACAGUACAACACUGUCUUCUCUGUUUUGUUUCUCCAGGUUUACUUUGCCUGCUUUAAGUACUGGUAUGCAGUUAAGUGAGAAGGAGUGAUUGUUUGUCCAUUUGGAUGCUUUUCUAGUGAGAAAGUUACAUAUGUGUUAAAUCAAGAAAAUGUACUAAAGACUUUAAAUUAGAGUUUUGUGGUGGUUCCUUACUGUUAAAGCACUGUGUUCUGUAAGAUACCCAGUUUUUUCAUAGCAGAAGAGCAUCACUGGCUAGAGUUGGAGUAGUUAACAAAAGAGUAUGAUGGUUUUCAGUCCACGGCGUGAACUUUAGCUCCAAAGUUUUAGAGGUCAUCAGCAUGGACAAAUUGAUGUCAGCUGAUCUUUAUAAAUAUUGGGAUAUGUACAAGGUAACUUGAGCUAGUUCAGACUUUUGUUACUUGUGUUUAAUAUUAGAUUGCAGUGCCAGCCCCUCAGAUGCAUGUAGCAACAAGCUGAAAAGCAUGCAGUUCAUCUCCAGCUUCAUCCUCACAGGAACUGAGCUGUCUGGUACAGAUCCAGAAGUAUGAUUUUCUGUGGAAGAGCUGGAUAUAAGACAACAAAGUGCAGUGUAUCUCCAGAAGUGGUUUCUCUUGGUGUGUCCAGUGUCUAACAGAGCACUUUGUUUCCUAAAUGAAUGUGAAAGACCUCCAGGAAAGGAUGGGUCUCAGCAGGAAGAGCAUUCAUGCUCAGCUUUGACCACGAAGAGAACUCUUGCUGUUGGGAUGCACUCGUUUCUUUAGGAGAUCUGGUAAACACGCUGCGUCAGUGGAACACAGCGCACAAAGGACCUGGCUACCCUGAAACAGAGGCAGUAGAGAUUAAGGUGUGGUUUCUAAAAGGGAUAAAAAAAAGAGGUGGUGAUGCCCUUGAGCCCUGAAAACAAGUUUCUAUCCUGUGCUGAGAGCUGCUCAGCAGAUGGGGAGAACAGCAGGGAUGAAUUUGGUGAUUGGAGGAUAACUCAAUUGCUAACAUGGUUUUUGGUGAACAGAUUGAAGUAUUUUGAGUGCAGAAGGGAUGGCGUAGUGCUGCUGGCAGCCAUGAGCCUACCUGGAGCACUGCAUGCCAGCUCUCUCAUUUGUAAUUAAGAAACAUGGACGGAAACUAGAACAAGUAUGAGCAAGUACUUUUUUUUUUUUUUUUUUUUUUUUUUUUUUUUUUUUUUUUUUUUUUUUUAAUGCUGUCCAAAAA